GACGAACGCUGGCGGCGUGCCUAAUACAUGCAAGUAGAACGCUGAAGGAGGAGCUUGCUUCUCUGGAUGAGUUGCGAACGGGUGAGUAACGCGUAGGUAACCUGCCUGGUAGCGGGGGAUAACUAUUGGAAACGAUAGCUAAUACCGCAUAAUAGUAGAUGUUGCAUGACAUUUGCUUAAAAGGUGCAAUUGCAUCACUACCAGAUGGACCUGCGUUGUAUUAGCUAGUUGGUGGGGUAACGGCUCACCAAGGCGACGAUACAUAGCCGACCUGAGAGGGUGAUCGGCCACACUGGGACUGAGACACGGCCCAGACUCCUACGGGAGGCGGCAGUAGGGAAUCUUCGGCAAUGGACGGAAGUCUGACCGAGCAACGCCGCGUGAGUGAAGAAGGUUUUCGGAUCGUAGAGCUCUGUUGUAAGAGAAGAACGAGUGUGAGAGUGGAAAGUUCACACUGUGACGGUAUCUUACCAGAAAGGGACGGCUAACUACGUG
rnacentral:rRNA from 1 species